rnacentral:rRNA from 1 species
UACGAAGGGGGCGAGCGUUGUUCGGAAUUACUGGGCGUAAAGGGCGCGCAGGCGGCUCAGACAGUCAGAUGUGAAAGCCCCGGGCUUAACCUGGGAACUGCAUUUGAUACUACUGAGCUUGAGUACGGGAGAGGAUAGUGGAAUUCCCAGUGUAGAGGUGAAAUGCGUAGAUAUUGGGAGGAACACCAGUGGCGAAGGCGGCUCACUGGACCGGUUCUGACGCUGAGGCGCGAAAGCGUGGGGAGCAAACGGG